AACAAAUUUCUCAACUCUCAUUCACUAUAACAAAACUAAAAUCCAUUAAGCAUUUGUCAAGUGGCAUUCAAGGUAAUGUCAUAAGAAACCAGGGAUAAAUUUUGACAAGUUGCAAGUGAUGGCACCAUUUUGUCAAAGCUAUGAUUAACUUAUAGACAAACGAACACAAAAAAUGAAAAUUUGACUAAAUAGCAUAGGUUCUUCUUUGGAAUUCUAAGGAACAGGAGGGAGAAAAAACAUUGAAACGCAAAACAACAGCAAAACCAUACUAAUUGAAAAGUAAUGAAGCAAAAUUUAAACAAUGAGGCAAGAACAUCACCGGUAGUACAAAUUACAGAAGCAAACAUCACCGGCCUCUUGUAACUUGUUCUUCCAACUCCUCAACUGACGAAGGAAACAAUUCUAUAUAACGACUUCCUAGAGUCAUCCUAUCCUUAGCCAUUGCUGCUUUUGAAUCUUCUGCACUUGCAAAUUCCACAAAUGCUUCCCCAGUUGGCCUCCCCUCUGAGUUCAUUGUAAUAUGAACCGACUCCUCUGACAACACAAAAUCUUUGAAGAACUCCAUUAUGUCAUCCUUGCCAGCAGAAAAUGGCAGUCCCCUCAACCGUAAUACCCCUGUAUGUUCAGCUGAGUCCUUCCCCUCGUCAUAAGAUUUAGCCCUCGGAGCAUUUUGCCUUGGUGAACCACCACGAGCAUCUGAAACUUCAUUUGCAAUUGCCUUGUAAUAAUCCUGUCUCUUACUUCUGAAAACCUCAACAUAUCGCCUGCCCAUGUUCUGCCUAUUCUUUUGAAGAGCAAAAUCAACUUGAAGAGGAUAACCCAAAACACAAAAAGCUUCACCAGUGAACUUGCCACCCCUGUGGACAAAAAGAACAUCAACUAUGUCCAGACCAUGGAAGAACUCAGCCACAUCAGUUUCUGUGCAAUCAAAGGGGAGUCCACGGAGUCGGACAACAGGGAAAGGUGGAGGCUGGGCAACAUAUCCAUAAGGUGGUGGAUUGUACAUAAAACUUGAACCAGGGGAAGUUCCAUAGAAUGAAGGACCCUGAUCAAGUAACCGCUGACGUUUUGCACCCAUUUCACGACCAUCGCCACCAUCAGGAUAUCUACUUUAAUUUCCAAAAACCAUUAAAACAAGAAAAGAUAAGUAAUUCAUCAAUGCUUUGUACACAUAAUUAUGCAAAAACAAAGAGCAACUAUAUUCAACUAUGUUAAGAAAUAUAGAUGUUUUGUUCCUUUUAUUCUUUUCUCAAUCAGAAAAACAAAAAAGAAACCUCAUAACACAGGAGGUAAAAAUGACAUCCAAGAGCCUCAAAUUAACACAUGGGUUGGUGAUUUUGCAUGAAAAUAUUGAAAUAUUACCUUUUAAUAAUGACAAGUUGAAAUUUUCUUUUCAAAAAUUCAUUUCUGAUGCCAUCAUUGUGUCAUUUCACUAGAUCCAUUCCUACAAUGUAAUUAGAGCUUCAUUGAGAGUUAUUUUUUUCAUCUCUCUUUUUAUAUUCAAGUGUCCAUGGUUAAUUCACUUGGUCUGUAUGCCUUGGUUCCAUCCAUAUCAUUGACUGGGGCAAUCAUAUCUUUCAAAAAAUUGAUAUCUUGAUUUAUGCAUCUGAUAACAGGCCCAUGCCCAGUAUUUUCUUUCUUAUUGCAAAUUUUAUUUGGAAAAUCAGAUAAUUCACUUCUAGUAUCCAAUUUUCAAAUAAAAACAAGAUUGUUGCCAUUUAACGCUAUAUGCACAAGCAUCCAUGUAACACCCACUAGAUGGAAAGACAUCUAGAUUAGAAGCUGCCUGGAACAAAUAAUAGCGUGGCUAACUGGCAAAAUAGUUUGCUUAGUUUCACUUGAGAUUGCCAUGGCAUCUCUUGAAGAAAAAACAUGUUUUUUGUGUGGCUUCCUACCAAAAAGACAUAAUUCACCUGCUGACUUUUUGUUCUAAAGCCACCAAUAUGUCAUUGUAUUCAUUAUAAACUAUUAACACCACAAUUAUUUCUUUCUUUUGUCUAUAGUCUCUUGAGCUCUGAAGCAACAACGCUAGCUUUGAGCCUAAUGUCUAUCCUCCUCCAAAUAAGGUACACCAUUUUCCUAUGAGGCCUGAAACUGUUUUCUCAUUUUGUCUCUAAAGGUCCACAGGCUUUGCCUUGUCCCCUCAAUUUUGUUCCAAACAAUCUAUUGAUUAUUAGCCCUAAUAGUCCCUUUCAUUGAUUGUAUGGAGCUCCUUCUGACUUUAAAUAAAAGCCAGAUCCAAACCUCAACCAUUUAGUCUUCAUUUAUGCCUAAAGCUUAAUACAAAUUCCUCAAAUGAACUAACAGCAGCUUCAAAAAUAAUUCAAACCAAUAAUAAUUGGUAAAGAUAGGUCAUUCUUAACCAUCAAAGCUGACAAUUGGUGAAGCAAAAUUGACACACAUCUAAAUAUCAACCCAACCAAAAAUCUACAAUGCUCACCUCACAUUCCUUAUUGCACACAAUUCUAUCACCGAAUGAAAGUGUACAUUAGUCUAUUUGCAGAGAAAUUCAAUCUGAAAACAAACAUGAAUUGCAAACCAAUGGACAAAUGAAUAUUGUCACUCUCUACUCUGUGGAUUGGUCAAAAACAGCCAAAAGCAGUGAGUUGCUGACCAGAUUGUGACAACCCUUACCCAGGGGGUUGCCAUAAUACCAACCUACCCAUCGAUGAGCCUAAUGUUAGUGGUGUUGAUAGCAUAGGUGGUCUGCUGGUAUUCCCAUCAUGGACUAAUUCAAACCAUAGUUUGAACCCAGCCAAGUGCCCCACGAAGGACAAUUUAACAAACCCUGGCAUAGGAAUUUUAAAGGCGAGGUGACGGAAAGGAACCUUAAUUACCUUCACUUGGGUUGGAUGUCUUGCGAUUUUUAAAGAAAUAGGAAGUUAAAGGCUGUAAGGAUUUAAAGACAUAACAUUACAAGCUUCAACCCUCAAUUUGGGAUUAAAAUUACCACGGAAAAAGAAAAUAAAUCCUAAAAACCAUCGCUUUAACUAAAAAAUAAGCAUUUCGAGGAAAUACAGAUCAAACUAAACAAGUGCAAAAUAGACCCAGAUAAGAUUACAAAGGGGGGGAAAAUCAUAUAUAUUGGAUUGUUGAUGUAGCACAGGUUAAUAAACAAAGAAUUAAUAGCAGGUAGCAUAAUGAGAAAAACAAAGAAUCAAGAGGACGACGAAAUAAAUUGACGAAACCCCAACUGCAAGGCUUGAUUUAACAAUGGAGAAAAAAAAUAAAAGAGAG
rnacentral:misc_RNA from 1 species